CAGUAGCCGCGGUAAUACGGAGGAUCCAAGCGUUAUCCGGAAUCAUUGGGUUUAAAGGGUCCGUAGGCGGUCUUGUAAGUCAGUGGUGAAAGCCCAUCGCUCAACGGUGGAACGGCCAUUGAUACUGCAGGACUUGAAUUAUUGGGAAGUAACUAGAAUAUGUAGUGUAGCGGUGAAAUGCUUAGAGAUUACAUGGAAUACCAAUUGCGAAGGCAGGUUACUACCAAUUGAUUGACGCUGAUGGACGAAAGCGUGGGUAGCGAACAGGAUUAGAUACCCCCGUAGUCCCUGUCUCUUAACA
rnacentral:rRNA from 1 species